GGACCUUUAGCUCAGUUGGUUAGAGCAAUCGGCUCAUAACCGAUCGGUCCUGGGUUCGAGUCCCCGAAGGUCC
rnacentral:tRNA from 1 species